rnacentral:rRNA from 1 species
CGGCGGACGGGUGAGUAACACGUGGGUAACCUGCCCAUAAGACUGGGAUAACUCCGGGAAACCGGGGCUAAUACCGGAUAACAUUUUGAACUGCAUGGUUCGAAAUUGAAAGGCGGCUUCGGCUGUCACUUAUGGAUGGACCCGCGUCGCAUUAGCUAGUUGGUGAGGUAACGGCUCACCAAGGCAACGAUGCGUAGCCGACCUGAGAGGGUGAUCGGCCACACUGGGACUGAGACACGGCCCAGACUCCUACGGGAGGCAGCAGUAGGGAAUCUUCCGCAAUGGACGAAAGUCUGACGGAGCAACGCCGCGUGAGUGAUGAAGGCUUUCGGGUCGUAAAA